UACAGAGAGUGCGAGCGUUAAUCGGAAUCACUGGGCGUAAAGCGCGCGUAGGUGGAUUCUUAAGUCGAAUGUGAAAGCCCCGGGCUCAACCUGGGAACUGCAUUCGAUACUGGGUUUCUAGAGUAUGAUAGAGGGAAGUGGAAUUUCCGGUGUAGCGGUGAAAUGCGUAGAUAUCGGAAGGAACACCAGUGGCGAAGGCGACUUCCUGGAUCAAUACUGACACUGAGGUGCGAAAGCGUGGGUAGCAAACAGG
rnacentral:rRNA from 1 species